GCCUUCGUGGUGUGUUGGUAAGCACGCUCGACGCAUAACCUAGAGGUCCGUAGUUCGAUUCCCGGCGAAGGCG
rfam:Stegodyphus mimosarum contig84878, whole genome shotgun sequence.